GUGAACGUAGUUCAGUUGGUAGAGCGCCAGAUUGUGGUUCUGGUUGUCGUGGGUU
rnacentral:tRNA from 1 species